rnacentral:rRNA from 1 species
UUGGAAACAGUUGCUAAGGCUGGAUAGGAAAUAAAAAGGCAUCUUUUUAUUUUUAAAAGACCUUUUUCGGAAGGUAUGCUUAAAGAGGGGCUUGCGUCACAUUAGUUAGUUGGUAGGGUAAAGGCCUACCAAGACGAUGAUGUGUAGCUGGACUGAGAGGUUGAACAGCCACAUUGGGACUGAGACACGGCCCAAACUCCUACGGGAGGCAGCAGUAGGGAAUUUUCGGCAAUGGAGGAAACUCUGACCGAGCAACGCCGCGUGAACGACGAAGUACUUCGGUAUGUAAAGUUCUUUUAUUGAAGAAGAAACAAUAGUGGAAAAACUAUCUUGACGUUAUUCAAUGAAUAAGCCCCGGCUAACUAUGUGCCAGCAGCCGCGGUAAUACAUAGGGGGCGAGCGUUAUCCGGAAUUAUUGGGCGUAAAGGGUGCGUAGGCGGUUUAAUAAGUCUCUAGUUUAAUUUCAACGCUUAACGUUGUCCUGCUAGAGAAACUGUUUAACUAGAGUGAGAUAGAGGUAAGCGGAAUUCCAUGUGUAGCGGUAAAAUGUGUAAAUAUAUGGAGGAACACCAGAGGCGUAGGCGGCUUACUGGGUCUUUACUGACGCUGAUGCACGAAAGCGUGGGGAGCAAACAGGAUUAGAUACCCUGGUAGUCCACGCCGUAAACUAUGAGUACUAAGUGUCGGGGUUAAACUCGGUACUGAAGUUAACACAUUAAGUACUCCGCCUGAGUAGUACGUACGCAAGUAUGAAACUUAAAGGAAUUGACGGGAUCCCGCACAAGCGGUGGAUCAUGUUGUUUAAUUCGAAGAUACACGAAAAACCUUACCAGGUCUUGACAUACUCUGCAAAGCUAUAGAAAUAUAGUGGAGGUUAUCAGGGAUACAGGUGGUGCAUGGUUGUCGUCAGCUCGUGUCGUGAGAUGUUAGGUUAAGUUCUAAAACGAGCGCAACCCCUGUCGUUAAUUGCCAGCACGUUAUGGUGGGGACUUUAGCGAGACUGCCAAUGAAAAAUUGGAGGAAGGUGGGGAUUACGUCAAAUCAUCAUGCCCCUUAUGAUCUGGGCUACAAACGUGAUACAAUGGCUAUUACAAAGAGUAGCUGAAACGCGAGUUUUCGGCAAAUCUCAAAAAAAUAGUCUCAGUUCGGAUUGAAGUCUGCAACUCGACUUCAUGAAGUUGGAAUCGCUAGUAAUCGCGAAUCAGCAUGUCGCGGUGAAUACGUUCUCGGGGUUUGUACACACCGCCCGUCAAACCA